rnacentral:rRNA from 1 species
GGGUUGUGAGGUUAAGCGACCAAGCGUACACGGUGGAUGCCCUGGCAGUCAGAGGCGAUGAAGGACGUGCUAAUCUGCGAAAAGCGCCGGUAAGGUGAUAUGAACCGUUAUAACCGGCGAUGUCCGAAUGGGGAAACCCAGUGUGACUCGUCACACUAUCAUUAACUGAAUCCAUAGGUUAAUGAGGCGAACCGGGGGAACUGAAACAUCUAAGUACCCCGAGGAAAAGAAAUCAACCGAGAUUCCCCCAGUAGCGGCGAGCGAACGGGGAGGAGCCCAGAGCCUGAAUCAGCAUGUGUGUUAGUGGAAGCGUCUGGAAAGGCGCGCGAUACAGGGUGAGAGCCCCGUACACAAAAGCGCACAUGCUGUGAGCUCGAUGAGUAGGGCGGGACACGUGGUAUCCUGUCUGAAUAUGGGGGGACCAUCCUCCAAGGCUAAAUACUCCUGACUGACCGAUAGUGAACCAGUACCGUGAGGGAAAGGCGAAAAGAACCCCGGCGAGGGGAGUGAAACAGAACCUGAAACCGUGUACGUACAAGCAGUGGGAGCCUCUCUUUAUGGGGGGUGACUGCGUACCUUUUGUAUAAUGGGUCAGCGACUUAUAUUCUGUAGCAAGGUUAACCGCAUAGGGGAGCCGAAGGGAAACCGAGUCUUAAUUGGGCGUUAAGUUGCAGGGUAUAGACCCGAAACCCGGUGAUCUAGCCAUGGGCAGGUUGAAGGUUGGGUAACACUAACUGGAGGACCGAACCGACUAAUGUUGAAAAAUUAGCGGAUGACCUGUGGCUGGGGGUGAAAGGCCAAUCAAACCGGGAGAUAGCUGGUUCUCCCCGAAAGCUAUUUAGGUAGCGCCUCGUGAAUUCAUCUCCGGGGGUAGAGCACUGUUUCGGCUAGGGGGCCAUCCCGGCUUACCAACCCGAUGCAAACUGCGAAUACCGGAGAAUGUUAUCACGGGAGACACACGGCGGGUGCUAACGUCCGUCGUGAAGAGGGAAACAACCCAGACCGCCAGCUAAGGUCCCAAAGUCAUGGUUAAGUGGGAAACGAUGUGGGAAGGCCCAGACAGCCAGGAUGUUGGCUUAGAAGCAGCCAUCAUUUAAAGAAAGCGUAAUAGCUCACUGGUCGAGUCGGCCUGCGCGGAAGAUGUAACGGGGCUAAACCAUGCACCGAAGCUGCGGCAGCGACACUUUAGUGUUGUUGGGUAGGGGAGCGUUCUGUAAGCCGUUGAAGGUGUCCUGUGAGGGGUGCUGGAGGUAUCAGAAGUGCGAAUGCUGACAUAAGUAACGAUAAAGCGGGUGAAAAGCCCGCUCGCCGGAAGACCAAGGGUUCCUGUCCAACGUUAAUCGGGGCAGGGUGAGUCGACCCCUAAGGCGAGGCCGAAAGGCGUAGUCGAUGGGAAACGGGUUAAUAUUCCCGUACUUGGUGUUACUGCGAAGGGGGGACGGAGAAGGCUAUGUUGGCCGGGCGACGGUUGUCCCGGUUUAAGCGUGUAGGUGUGUGUUCCAGGUAAAUCCGGUUCACUUUAACACUGAGGCGUGAUGACGAGGCACCACGGUGCUGAAGCAACAAAUGCCCUGCUUCCAGGAAAAGCCUCUAAGCAUCAGGUAACAUCAAAUCGUACCCCAAACCGACACAGGUGGUCAGGUAGAGAAUACCAAGGCGCUUGAGAGAACUCGGGUGAAGGAACUAGGCAAAAUGGUGCCGUAACUUCGGGAGAAGGCACGCUGACACGUAGGUGAAGUGAUUUACUCAUGGAGCUGAAGUCAGUCGAAGAUACCAGCUGGCUGCAACUGUUUAUUAAAAACACAGCACUGUGCAAACACGAAAGUGGACGUAUACGGUGUGACGCCUGCCCGGUGCCGGAAGGUUAAUUGAUGGGGUCAGCGCAAGCGAAGCUCCUGAUCGAAGCCCCGGUAAACGGCGGCCGUAACUAUAACGGUCCUAAGGUAGCGAAAUUCCUUGUCGGGUAAGUUCCGACCUGCACGAAUGGCGUAAUGAUGGCCAGGCUGUCUCCACCCGAGACUCAGUGAAAUUGAACUCGCUGUGAAGAUGCAGUGUACCCGCGGCAAGACGGAAAGACCCCGUGAACCUUUACUAUAGCUUGACACUGAACAUUGAGCCUUGAUGUGUAGGAUAGGUGGGAGGCUUUGAAGCGUGGACGCCAGUCUGCGUGGAGCCGACCUUGAAAUACCACCCUUUAAUGUUUGAUGUUCUAACGUGGACCCGUAAUCCGGGUUGCGGACAGUGUCUGGUGGGUAGUUUGACUGGGGCGGUCUCCUCCUAAAGAGUAACGGAGGAGCACGAAGGUUGGCUAAUCCUGGUCGGACAUCAGGAGGUUAGUGCAAUGGCAUAAGCCAGCUUGACUGCGAGCGUGACGGCGCGAGCAGGUGCGAAAGCAGGUCAUAGUGAUCCGGUGGUUCUGAAUGGAAGGGCCAUCGCUCAACGGAUAAAAGGUACUCCGGGGAUAACAGGCUGAUACCGCCCAAGAGUUCAUAUCGACGGCGGUGUUUGGCACCUCGAUGUCGGCUCAUCACAUCCUGGGGCUGAAGUAGGUCCCAAGGGUAUGGCUGUUCGCCAUUUAAAGUGGUACGCGAGCUGGGUUUAGAACGUCGUGAGACAGUUCGGUCCCUAUCUGCCGUGGGCGCUGGAAGACUGAGGGGGGCUGCUCCUAGUACGAGAGGACCGGAGUGGACGCAUCACUGGUGUUCGGGUUGUCAUGCCAAUGGCACUGCCCGGUAGCUAAAUGCGGAAAAGAUAAGUGCUGAAAGCAUCUAAGCACGAAACUUGCCCCGAGAUGAGUCUUCCCUGAGACCUUGAGUCUCCUGAAGGAACGUUAAAGACGAUGACGUUGAUAGGCCGGGUGUGUAAGCGCAGCGAUGCGUUGAGCUAACCGGUACUAAUGAACCGUGAGGCUUAACCUUACAACGCCGAAG